rnacentral:rRNA from 1 species
UUAUAUGAGAGUUUGAUCCUGGCUCAGGACGAACGCUGGCGGCAUGCCUAAUACAUGCAAGUCGAACGCACGAAGUUGAAAAGCUUGCUUUUCGACCAAGUGAGUGGCGGACGGGUGAGUAACACGUGGGUAACCUGCCCAUAAG